UGUACUCCAAGAGCUAUGAAUUUGUUUAUGUUUACUCAUUUCAGUGCAUUUCGUAAAAUCUGGUUGUCAGUGUGAUAACUUACUUCAAUGUCGUGAAGUCAGUUUUUGACCGUCACAGCAAGCCGCGAUUGGUUUGUGAUGUCUUAUAUGCUGCUAUUGUCAAAUGACUCACAUGGCUACCCUGCUAGAUCCUGUGAUGACAGUCCACCUAUCCAACAAAAGAAUCAAGCGGUCAUUGUGCCUGUAGCCUCUUCACCUUAUGGAUUUUGCCAUGACUUAGAUCGUGCUAAUCAGGUUUGGUUUAGCUUUGUGGGAUUACAUGCCCUUUGAUUUGAUUCUGCACGUGAGCAAGGUGAGUAGGCGAUUCUCUCCUCCAUAUCUUCUCCUCCUCUCUCGCCUCACCCCACUGCAGGAUUCACUGGGCAAGUUCUGUUGUUGCCUGCGAGAGAGCUUCGUUGGGGUAGCGAGUGGGAAAACAUUGGCGGCGGAUGGCCGCGGUGCCCGAUUGUCUUUUUAUUUGUAAAAUUCGUUAUUGGACUCCUGUAUGAAGUUUUUAUUCGUUUUAUUUUUCCAGAAUGGAUGAAGCUAGAUAGCCAUUAUCCAGAAGAGUUCCCAUCCCUUCAAGCCAGAUUAAUACCUACAUGAUGAUUAUCAUAAUCCUGUUGGUGAUUCUGUGGCUCCUCUUCCAGUGCCAGUUGAUCCAUCCGGUGAAUGAUGUGUUUUUUUGUGUGGCUCAUAUAAUAUAUGUAAUACGUGAGAUAUGAUUUGCCUUGCCUUGGAUUCUUGAUGGAUUCCCCAAGUGGUUUCCUAUGAGACGGAGACUUACCUAGACCGUUUGACACUGAGGUUGUUACUAUUGCCAUGUAGUUAUAGUCACCUUCUAAUUUCCUCCCAAACUUUUGCGACUAACUGUUUGUAUGGACAAUUGGUUUCUUUGUUCAUCUCAUCCUGCAAAAGAGCAUCUGUUAGUCACAGAAAAUACUCUUUCAUAAAUUCUUGUGGUUGAUUAUCCAAUUGUAAGGCCUCUUGCUAUGUUUAAGAUGGUGUUGCUAUGCUGAGAUUUGAGGAAUUGUGUGAAACUUUUGAAUUUGCAUAGAAAUGGGUCCCUUUGUGUAAAGAUAUGGUGUUGAGCCUCUUGCUUCAUAGUGGUACUUCCAACGGAAGACAGAGUACCUAAAAGAUAAGGUGGUACCAAACUUUGUAGGGUCAGCAAAGCAAUGAAGGUGCAUAGAUUGGUGUCAUGUGUCAUACUUUCUAUGUUCAUUCGGUCGUUAAAAUGAAUGCUAAUUAGUCACAUCCUCUUUUCCAGAGUAUGGGGAAUUCAAGGUACAUAUGAAUGUUUGGUUCCUAAGGAUCAGGAAAUUCCCGAGGAAACGAUGGACCAUGCAGGAUGGAACUCCAAGGCUUGGAAACAUUGUUCUUGAUCAUCCUAGAAUGGUUUCAGGUAUGCUAUUACCGUCUAUUGUGCUCUCAGUGUUUGUGAUCAUCCUAGAAUGAUUUCAGGUAUGCUAAUACAGUCUACCGUGCUAUUUA